rnacentral:rRNA from 1 species
GAGUUUGAUCAUGGCUCAGAUUGAACGCUGGCGGCAGGCCUAACACAUGCAAGUCGAACGGUAACAGGAUGUGCUUGCACAUCGCUGACGAGUGGCGGACGGGUGAGUAAUGCUUGGGAACUUGCCUUUGCGAGGGGGAUAACAGUUGGAAACGACUGCUAAUACCGCAUAACGUCUUCGGACCAAACGGGGCUUCGGCUCCGGCGCAGAGAGAGGCCCAAGUGAGAUUAGCUAGUUGGUAAGGUAAAGGCUUACCAAGGCGACGAUCUCUAGCUGUUCUGAGAGGAAGAUCAGCCACACUGGGACUGAGACACGGCCCAGACUCCUACGGGAGGCAGCAGUGGGGAAUAUUGCACAAUGGGGGAAACCCUGAUGCAGCCAUGCCGCGUGUGUGAAGAAGGCCUUCGGGUUGUAAAGCACUUUCAGUUGUGAGGAAAAGUUAGUAGUUAAUACCUGCUGGCCGUGACGUUAACAACAGAAGAAGCACCGGCUAACUCCGUGCCAGCAGCCGCGGUAAUACGGAGGGUGCGAGCGUUAAUCGGAAUUACUGGGCGUAAAGCGCACGCAGGCGGUUUGUUAAGCUAGAUGUGAAAGCCCCGGGCUCAACCUGGGAUGGUCAUUUAGAACUGGCAGACUAGAGUCUUGGAGAGGGGAGUGGAAUUCCAGGUGUAGCGGUGAAAUGCGUAGAUAUCUGGAGGAACAUCAGUGGCGAAGGCGACUCCCUGGCCAAAGACUGACGCUCAUGUGCGAAAGUGUGGGGUAGCGAACAGGAUNAGAUACCCUGGUAGUCCACACCGUAAACGCUGUCUACUANCCUGUUUUGUGAUUUUUAAAUCGUGGAGUAGCGAANCCUUAACGCGCUUAAGUUAAACCGCCUGGGGGAAGUACGGCCCGCCAAGGGUUNAAAAACUCAAAAUUAAAUUGACCGGGGGNCCCCCCACAAACGGGGGGAAACAUGUGGUUUG